rnacentral:rRNA from 1 species
CAUAGCGACUAUCGUGGCAUAUCAAUAAGCGGAGGAAAAGAAACUAACAAGGAUUCCCCUUAGUAACGGCGAGUGAAGCGGGAAGAGCUCAAAUUUGAAAUCUUCAAGGUUUUACCUUGACGAAUUGUAGUUUAAAGAAGUGUUUUCUGUUGGAGUUUUGGUAAAAGUUCUUUGGAAUAGGACAUCAUAGAGGGUGAGAAUCCCGUAUUUGACCAUUAUUUCCAGCUGUGUGAUACACUUUCAAAGAGUCGGAUUGUUUGGGAAUGCAGUCCAAAAUGGGUGGUAAAUUUCAUCUAAAGCUAAAUAUUGGCAAGAGACCGAUAGCGAACAAGUACCGUGAGGGAAAGAUGAAAAGAACUUUGAAAAGAGAGUUAAACAGUACGUGAAAUUGUCAAAAGGGAAGCGUUUGACACCAGUGUUGUUUUCUCGAAAAUCAAUUAAAAAUGAUGGGAUUUUGUGUUGUAUUGACUUUAUCAGCUUUCUGCACUUUUUUCUUAUCUUUUUUAAUGCACUUUUCGUUUAACAAGUCAACAUCAAUUUCUUUUGUUGUAAAAGAGUCAUUGGAAGGUGGCUUUUUCUUCGGAAAAAGUGUUUAUAGCCUUUGGCUUCUGCAAUCGGAGAGAUUGAGGUCUGCAGCGUAGAUCCUUCGGGGUUAGAUACAUUUGUGCUAAGCUAUAGUUCUUUAUAGACAACUUGUUGACUAUAAUCAAUCCUGUAACUUACUCGCUUAUGCUAUUUUACCUACGCUUAGGAUGUUGAUAUGCAUGACUGAUAU